rnacentral:tRNA from 1 species
AUCUUUCUAGUAUUAUGCAGUACCAGUGACUUCCAAUCACUUAGUCUUGGUUCAAGUCCAAGGAAAGAUA